rnacentral:rRNA from 1 species
UGAUCAUGGCUCAGAUUGAACGCUGGCGGCAUGCCUUACACAUGCAAGUCGAACGGUAACAGGUCUUCGGAUGCUGACGAGUGGCGAACGGGUGAGUAAUACAUCGGAACGUGCCCGAUCGUGGGGGAUAACGAAGCGAAAGCUUUGCUAAUACCGCAUACGAUCUACGGAUGAAAGCAGGGGACCGCAAGGCCUUGCGCGAACGGAGCGGCCGAUGGCAGAUUAGGUAGUUGGUGGGAUAAAAGCUUACCAAGCCGACGAUCUGUAGCUGGUCUGAGAGGACGACCAGCCACACUGGGACUGAGACACGGCCCAGACUCCUACGGGAGGCAGCAGUGGGGAAUUUUGGACAAUGGGCGAAAGCCUGAUCCAGCCAUGCCGCGUGCAGGAUGAAGGCCUUCGGGUUGUAAACUGCUUUUGUACGGAACGAAAAGACUCUGGUUAAUACCUGGGGUCCAUGACGGUACCGUAAGAAUAAGCACCGGCUAACUACGUGCCAGCAGCCGCGGUAAUACGUAGGGUGCAAGCGUUAAUCGGAAUUACUGGGCGUAAAGCGUGCGCAGGCGGUUAUAUAAGACAGAUGU